CUCUAUCGAAUGAAAAGUUAUCUUAUAAACAUAUAUGUAAUACCUCUAUACUGCUAGUACAUUCAAAGUACAUUCCCCAACAUCAGAGUGUCGAAAUAUUGAAAA